rnacentral:lncRNA from 1 species
GAUUGAAUUGUCAGAAUGAUGAAAAUGUUGAUGUUAAACCCAUGAAAUUUGAUUGAAUUGUGGGAGUUAUAGAAAUGAUGAUGUUAAACCCAUGAAAUUUGAUUGAAUUGUGGGAAUGAUGAAAAUGUUGAUUUUAAACCCAUGAAAUUUGAUUGAAUUGUGGGAAUUAUAAAAAUGACGACGUUAAACCCAUGAAAUUUGAUUGAAUUGUGGGAGUGAGGAAAAUGAUGAUGUUAAACCCAUGAAAUUUGAUUGAAUUGUUAGAAAGAUGAAAAUGUUGGUGUUAAACCCAUGAAAUUUGAUUCAAUUGUGGGAAUUAUAGAAAUGAUGAUGUUAAACCCAUGAAAUUUGAUUGAAUUGUGGGAAUGAUGAAAAUGUUGAUGUUAAACCCAUGAAAUUUGAUUGAAUUGUGGGAAUGAUGAAAAUGAUGAUGUUAAACCCAUGAAAUUUGAUUGAAUUGUGGGAAUGAUGAAAAUGUUGAUGUUAAACCCAUGAAAUUUGAUUGAAUUGUGGGAAUUAUAGAAAUGAUGAUGUUAAACCCAUGAAAUUUGAUUGAAUUGUGGGAAUGAUGAAAAUGUUGAUGUUAAACCCAUGAAAUUUGAUUGAAUUGUGGGAAUGAUGAAAAUGUUGAUGUUAAACCCAUGAAAUUUGAUUGAAUUGUGGGAAUGAUGAAAAUGUUGAUGUUAAACCCAUGAAAUUUGAUUGAAUUGUGGGAAUGAUGAAAAUGUUGAUGUUAAACCCAUGAAAUUUGAUUGAAUUGUGGGAAUGAUGAAAAUGUUGAUGUUAAACCCAUGAAAUUUGAUUGAAUUGUGGGAAUGAUGAAAAUGUUGAUGUUAAACCCAUGAAAUUUGAUUGAAUUGUGGGAAUGAUGAAAAUGUUGAUGUUAAACCCAUGAAAUUUGAUUGAAUUGUGGGAAUGAUGAAAAUGUUGAUGUUAAACCCAUGAAAUUUGAUUGAAUUGUGGGAAUGAUGAAAAUGUUGAUGUUAAACCCAUGAAAUUUGAUUGAAUUGUGGGAAUGAUGAAAAUGUUGAUGUUAAACCCAUGAAAUUUGAUUGAAUUGUGGGAAUGAUGAAAAUGUUGAUGUUAAACCCAUGAAAUUUGAUUGAAUUGUGGGAAUGAUGAAAAUGUUGAUGUUAAACCCAUGAAAUUUGAUUGAAUUGUGGGAAUGAUGAAAAUGUUGAUGUUAAACCCAUGAAAUUUGAUUGAAUUGUGGGAAUGAUGAAAAUGUUGAUGUUAAACCCAUGAAAUUUGAUUGAAUUGUGGGAAUGAUGAAAAUGUUGAUGUUAAACCCAUGAAAUUUGAUUGAAUUGUGGGAAUGAUGAAAAUGUUGAUGUUAAACCCAUGAAAUUUGAUUGAAUUGUGGGAAUGAUGAAAAUGUUGAUGUUAAACCCAUGAAAUUUGAUUGAAUUGUGGGAAUGAUAGAAAUGAUGAUGUUAAACCCAUUAAAUUUGAUUGAAUUGUGGGAAUGAUGAAAAUGUUGAUGUUAAACCUAUGAAAUUUGAUUGAGUUGUGGGAAUGAUGAAAAUGAUGAUGUUAAACCCAUGAAAUUUGAUUGAAUUGUGGGAAUUAUAAAAUUGAUGAUGUUAAACCCAUGAAAUUCAUUUGAAUUGUGGGAAUGAUUAAAAUGUUGAUUUUAAACCCAUGAAAUUUGAUUGAAUUGUGGGAAUCAUAGAAAUGAUGAUGUUAAACCCAUGAAAUUUGAUUCAAUGGUGGGAGUGAUGAAAAUGAUGAUGUUAAACCUAUGAGAUUUGAUUCAAUUGUUAGAAAGAUGAAAAUGGUGGUGUUAAAACCCUGAAAUCAGAUUAAAAUGUGGGAAUUAUAGAAAUGAGGAUGUUAAACCCAUGAAAUUUGAUUCAAUUGUGGAAAAGAUGAAAAUGUUGUUGUUAAACCCAUGAAAUUUGAUUGAAUUGUCGGAAUGAUGAAAAUGAUGAUGUUAAACCCAUGAAAUUUGAUUGAAUUGUGGGAAUUAUAGAAAUGAUGAUGUUAAACCCAUGAAAUUUGAUUCAAUUGUGGGAAUGAUGAAAAUGUUGAUGUUAAAC